GCCCUAAUAGUAUAACUAUUACCUUGGUCUUGUAAACCAAAAAUGAAGUC
rnacentral:tRNA from 1 species